GACGAACGCUGGCGGUGUGCUUCACACAUGCAAGUCGAACGGAGUAGCAAUACUCAGUGGCGGACGGGUGAGUAACACGUGGGAAUCUACCAUUAGAUGGGGAAUAACAGGCCGAAAGGACUGCUAAUGCCGCAUAUGUAUGUGCCUCGACAGGGGCGUAUAUGAAAGGAGUAAUCCGUCUGAUGAUGAGCCCGCGUCCGAUUAGCUAGUUGGUAAGGUAAAAGCUUACCAAGGCGACGAUCGGUAGGUGGUCUGAGAGGAUGAUCACCCACAAUGGGACUGAGACACGGCCCAUACUCCUACGGGAGGCAGCAGUGGGGGAAUUUUACGCAAUGGGGGAAACCCUGACGUAGCGACACCGCGUGAGC
rnacentral:rRNA from 1 species